GAAAUACUCUGUAGGUAAAGGUCCGCUAAACAUGUUAUUGGAAAGAUCGAACAUUCGUAGCUUUGAGAACGAAAAAUUGGCAAAGGACUCUUUCACCAAACCAUGGAGUUUGUUGGACUGUAGCACUAGAACUUGCAACUCCGGAAGAGUUUCCAAAAAAUGAGGGAACGUGUCAUCUAUAUUAUUGUUUCCAAGAUCUAAAAUUUGCAAACGUUGACAGUUGGAGAUGGACAGCGGAAUUCUCCUUUCCAAUUGAUUGCCAUUGAAGUUCAA
rnacentral:misc_RNA from 1 species